GUUCCAAAACCAGAAUCACUGCCUACAGUUCUAUAAGCGCUUGAGUCUUCAACAUUUAGUAAGUAGGGGACCUGCAUUCCACCAGAUCCAGCAGACAAAGCAGCAUCUCCAGGGUAGUCAUUGUUAAGGAAGUCAAGAUUCCCCGUCGAGUGAUCAUUGUUAACAAUAGGUGUCGCAAACGCCUCUUCCACUGUAGUUGCAAUAGAAUUAAUCACUCUCACUGGUGCAGUCUGCACAGAAUCUCCCCACAGCACCUCGGGUUCAAAUAAAUCUGUCCCAACCUGGGAUAAAAGAACAUCAGCAGAAGCUCUUGUAUACAAGUAUACCAACAAAGUAUAUAGUUGUUUUGCUACAAUUCUGCAUCAAAUAUUAUAUGAUACCAGUAUGGUAUACAAGUAUACCAACAGAGUAUAUAGUUUUUUUUUUGCUACUCAUCUGCACCUACCUAUAACUAUACUACUACGUACGAUGCUAAAUUAAUAUAGUGUGUUGUAAUUGAUAUUUUGUUCUUUGGGUUUACAUGACAAAUUCUAUUCCUUGCAUAUGCAAUUGUUGAUUCGGAAAAUGAUGCAUAGAAAACAGUUAAAUUUUCAAGUAACUGAUGAUGUCUUGAGAUUACUUGCAAUUGCACGAAAAAGAAAGACACCUACAGAGCUCCACUUACUGGCUCUUGCAUAACUUGUGCCUUCGACUCACUACACAAUCCAAAGUCCUUAACUGGCGACGUUGUUAUAGUGUUGAUACUGUUUGAUGCAAACUGGACUGUCCUCAAUUCCAGUCCAGAAUCUUCAUAGGAAAGCUCAUCAGAGCUGUCAAGAACUGAGUUGAAAUACUCAUCAAUAUCAAAGGCAUCUGUUCCAUUCUGAAACUGGACAUCCUUUUGAUCAUGGCUCAACUCAUUGAUCACAGUACUCAUCAAUAUCAAAGGCAUUUGUUCCAUUCUGAAACUGGACAUCCUUUUGAUCAUGGCUCAACUCAUUGAUCACAGGAGCAUGUAAGUACGAGGAUCCAAACUCCACCUGCAACUGUGCAUGCAACAGGGAGCAGAUCUUCCAAUCAAGAUGCUGUGGUGAAGGGUCACAAAAGAUUUCCAAUAAUUUCUCUAACUCGGGAUCCGACUAUAAU
rnacentral:lncRNA from 1 species